AGCAUUUUUAGCUCAGUGGAUAGAGCAAUAGCCUUCUAAGCUAUUUGUCAUAGGUUCGAAUCCUAUAAGAUGUUA
rnacentral:tRNA from 1 species